UGAAAUUCCUACGAGAUACUCCAAUCCGAAAAUAACCACAAAUAUGAAAAGAACACAAUAUGAGGAACACACGGAUAUACGUGGAAAACCCCAAAAACGGAUAAAAACCACGGGAAGAAAUCAAAUACUAUAUUUAACUUGUAUGGUUACAAUCGACCUUACUUCAUAAUUGAGACUCCUCACAAUUGACCAAAGAUGAUUGCUGACUCCUCGUUCACCACACCCCGUAUUUGAUUACCGCUGCCUUGACUCCUCAAGCCUUCCACAAUACUUCGGAAAUCCACCGAAGAAACAGCUCUAUGAUUGUUGAAGGAAAGUCGUGAACACCGAUUGGAGUUUGACUGUAACGUCGAAAACUUGCACAGGAGGAGAGGAGGGAGUUCGUGGGUUUCGGACGGAGCAAGGCGAUCGAGUAUUUCUGCGGUGCUGUUACCGACUCAGAGCGGUGCCGCGAGAUCAGAAGAAAUAUUGGGCUCAACAUUAUAAUGCAAUAACUGAAGAUCAAAUCUGCUUUACAAGAUUUGCAGCUCAACGGAAACAUCUCAACGUUCAAGUCCCUCUCCUGUAUAACCAGAGCUUCAACAGAAGAGAAAUCAACCAAGCUUCACCAGACUACUCAAUAACUUUACAAGAGCAAUAUUCAUCAUCUCCUACACCUCAUUUUUUAUACAAUUUAUUUGAGAGAUUUGUGAGCAAAAAUUGUCAUAUCUACUCUUUGAGGAGUGUUGUAAUUGUGAACUACAAAUUUUAUUAUCUUUUGAGAGAUUAAGUGUUUGAGAAAUCAAGCACUGGUUCUGUAAUUCCAAAAAUAGGGGUUUUGUUUUUGGAAGGGGUUUUUGAGGAUUUGUACUUUAAAUCCUUGCGGUUGUCUAGCUCCUCUGGAAAGCUAGAAGCGACGGUAAUUGUAAGCACCCGCAAGACUUAUUGGUGUAAUUUCAUUUUUAUUAGUGGAACCUUCAAGCGAUUGCCUUGGAAAAAAGUGGAGUAGACUGGACCGUGGACAAAUUCAGACCAAACCACUAUAAAUUAACUUUGCGCUUCUUAACUCUCUCUAUUUAUUUGCUAAUUAGUUAUUUGCCUUUGUAGCUUUUAAUUAGUAAUUUUUAAUUAGCAAACACCCCCCCCCCCCCCCUCUAGGUUGCUGUCUGGGUAAUAAUUGGUAUCAAAGGUUGGACUCUUGUCUAAAGACUUCACAGUCUAAGAGUGGUUAUGGCAACCACAUCCUCACAUAUCGAGGGGCUAUCAACCAACAGACCAUCUUUGUUCAAUGGAACAAACUUUGCCUACUGAAAAAAUAUGAUGAAAAUUUAUAUCCAGUCCAUAGAUUAUAGUUUAUGGAAAAUUAUCACGAUUGGACCAACAUCCCUAUGAAAACUGUAGGAGAAACCUCUGUGGUCAAGACUAAGGCUGAAUGGAAUGAUGCAGAUAUGCAUAAGAUAUAAUCAAACUCCAAGGAUAUGAAUAUUUUAUAUUAUGCUCUAGAUUCUGCUGAAUAUAAUAGAAUCUCUAUCUGUGAAACUGCUAAAGAAAUUUGGGAUAAAUUGAUAGCUACUCA